rnacentral:rRNA from 1 species
AUACAGAGGGUGCGAGCGUUAAUCGGAAUUACUGGGCGUAAAGGGUGUGUAGGUGGAUAGGUAAGUUAGAUGUGAAAUCCCUGGGCUCAACCUGGGAACUGCGUUUAAAACUGCUUAUCUAGAGUAAUGUAGAGGAUAGUGGAAUUUCCAGUGUAGCGGUGAAAUGCGUAGAUAUUGGAAGGAACACCAGUGGCGAAGGCGACUAUCUGGACAGAUACUGACACUGAGACACGAAAGCGUGGGGAGC